rnacentral:rRNA from 1 species
CCUACGGGAGGCAGCAGUGGGGAAUCUUCCGCAAUGGGUGCAAACCUGACGGAGCAACGCCGCGUGAGUGAAGACGGCCUUCGGGUUGUAAAGCUCUGUCUUCAGGGAAGAACCGUUACUGUAGGAAAUGGCAGUAGCCUGACGGUACCUGAGGAGGAAGCCCUGGCUAACUACGUGCCAGCAGCCGCGGUAACACGUAGAGGGCAAGCGUUGUCCGGAAUCAUUGGGCGUAAAGGGUAUGCAGGCGGAUAUACAAGUCAAAUGUGAAAGUUGACGGCUUAACCGUCAGAUUGCGUUUGAAACUGUAUAUCUUGAGUACAGUAGAGGAGAGCGGAAUUCCUGGUGGAGCGGUGAAAUGCGUAGAUAUCAGGAAGAACACCAGUGGCGCAGGCGGCUCUCUGGACUGUAACUGACGCUGAGAUACGAAAGCCGGGGGAGCGAACGGGAUUAGAUACCCCGGUAGUCCCGGCAGUAAACGCUGGACACUAGGUGUUGGAGGU